GUCUGUACCCAAAGUCACUUUAGCCAACCUGCAAAGGAGGCGAGUGCCUAAGGUAUGGGGGAUGAUUGGGUGAAGUCGUAACAAGGUAGCUGUAGGUGAACCUGCAGAAGGAUCA
rnacentral:rRNA from 1 species